rnacentral:rRNA from 2 species
GGAAGUAAAAGUCGUAACAAGGUUUCCGUAGGUGAACCUGCGGAAGGAUCAUUACACUCAGUAGAUUCUUCUACUGCUCGGGGAGAGGGGAAAGUCUCUCUGGUCUGCUUCGGCGGCUGGCGAACGAGUACGCUCUCUUUUCGAACCCUUGUCUUUUUGCGUACUUCAUGUUUCCUCGGCGGGCCUGCCCGCCGGUUGGACAACUCAAUAACCUAUUUUAAUUUUCAGUCAGCGUCUGAAUAAAUUAUAAUAAUUACAACUUUCAACAACGGAUCUCUUGGUUCUGGCAUCGAUGAAGAACGCAGCGAAAUGCGAUAAGUAGUGUGAAUUGCAGAAUUCAGUGAAUCAUCGAAUCUUUGAACGCACAUUGCGCCCCUUGGUAUUCCAUGGGGCAUGCUUGUUCGAGCGUCAUUUGUACCCUCAAGCUUUGCUUGGUGUUGGGUGUUUUGUCCUUUCCUCGCGUUUGGACUCACCUUAAAGUUAUUGGCAGCCAGUGUAUUGGUUUGAAGCGCAGCACAAUUUGCGAUUCAGGCUGGUGAUCACUUGCGUCCAACAAGUAUUUUUAACACUUUUGACCUCGGAUCAAGUAGGGAUACCCGCUGAACUUAAGCAUAUCAAUAAGCGGAGGA